rnacentral:misc_RNA from 1 species
ACCUAGCCUCGAUAGAAACGGUUACCCCGCAGCAGAAGAUGAAAGAAGGGGAUUAUGCCCGGAAAAACCCCGGCGCGAGGAGUAUGAGUGGAUAGCGAGAUAUAGC